CGAACGGGGUGAGUAACACGUGGGCAACCUGCCCAAAANAGGGGGAGUAACACUUGGAAACAGGUGCUAAUACCGCAUAACCAUAGUUACCGCAUGGUAACUAUGUAAAAGGUGGCUAUGCUACCGCUUUUGGAUGGGCCCGCGGCGCAUUAGCUAGUUGGUGGGGUAAAGGCUUACCAAGGCAAUGAUGCGUAGCCGAACUGAGAGGUUGAUCGGCCACAUUGGGACUGAGACACGGCCCAAACUCCUACGGAAGGCAGCAG
rnacentral:rRNA from 1 species